AUUGAACGCUGGCGGCAGGCCUAACACAUGCAAGUCGAACGAGCGGCGGACGGGUGUGUAAUGUCUGGGAAACUGCCCGAUGGAGGGGGGUAAACAACGGAAACGGUAGCUAAAACCCCAUACCCUCGGUGGUGUCCAGAGGGGAUUAGCUCGUAGGUGGGGUAACGGCUGACCUCGGCGACGAACCCUAGCUGGUCUGAGAGGAUGAACAGCCACACUGGAACUGAGACACGGUCCAGACUCCUACGGGAGGCAGCAGUGGGGAAUAUUGCACAAUGGGCGCAAGCCUGAUGCAGCCAUGCCGCGUGUAUGAAGAAGGCCUUCGGGUUGUAAAGUACUUUCAGCGAGGAGGCGUUACUCGCAGAAGAAGCACCGGCUAACUCCGUGCCAGCCGCCGCGGUAAUUC
rnacentral:rRNA from 1 species